CCGCGGGAACACCGGCGGCCCGAGUGGUGAUCGUGAUUAUUGGGUCUAAAGGGUCCGUAGCCGGUUUGGUCAGUCCUCCGGGAAAUCUGAUAGCUCAACUAUUAGGCUUUCGGGGGAUACUGCCAGACUUGGAACCGGGAGAGGUAAGAGGUACUACAGGGGUAGGAGUGAAAUCUUGUAAUCCCUGUGGGACCACCUGUGGCGAAGGCGUCUUACCAGAACGGGUUCGACGGUGAGGGACGAAAGCUGGGGGCACGAACCGGAUUAGAUACCCGGGUAGUCCCAGCCGUAAACGAUGCUCGCUAGGUGUCAGGCAUGGCGCGACCGUGUCUGGUGCCGCAGGGAAGCCGUGAAGCGAGCCACCUGGGAAGUACGGCCGCAAGGCUGAAACUUAAAGGAAUUGGCGGGGGAGCACAACAACGGGUGGAAGCCUGCGGUUUAAUUGGACUCAACGCCGGACAACUCACCGGGGGCGACAGCAAUAUGUAGGCCAAGCUGAAGACUUUGCCUGAAUCGCUGAGAAGAGGUGCAUGG
rnacentral:rRNA from 1 species